rfam:Pelosinus sp. TFO1, complete genome.
GCCGGUAUAGCUCAGUUGGUAGAGCAACUCAUUCGUAAUGAGUAGGUCUGCAGUUCGAAUCUGCAUAUCGGCU